rnacentral:lncRNA from 1 species
GUAAUCUAGUAAAUAUCUUGUUGACAGUCAGUUUUUACAUGUGCUGUAGUAUACUUAAAUCACUAUAGAUUUUGGUGUGAACAUCAAUAACAAACCAAGAAUCUCAGCGCAGCUCAGUUUGACCCAUAGGAAAAGUGAGACUUAUUAUUUAUUGUAGUCAGCAGUGUGUUUCUCAACUCCAUUGCAUCACCAAGAGGCUGGGAAAGAAAUUAACUCCACACUUCCAAGGUUCCUGCCCUGUUUGAAUUCAUGUCCUGACUUCCUUUUUGACAAAUAGUGAUCUGUCUCUGGCUGAAAGGCCGAGUUCAGGGUGUGAUGAGAUUUUGGCAUUGUUCUGCCAUAGUCAGACUUUCCAGCGUGAAGCACUAAUGGAUGCAGGAACACUCAGAGUGUUGGAGAAUUGUUCGGAUAGGAAGGUUUGGAAUUUUCACUUGUAUCUCUGCUCUAAUGCCUUUGAAACAGUAUCUAUAAAGUGUGGCAAUCCCAUGAAAGAACAUUUGAAGGCACAAGAAUGAUGCAGUCACAGUCGUUGUAAUUAUUGGAGCAUUCAAGGAUCCUUUGGAAUUAUAGCACAUCAGAAUUGGGAACAUAUUCAUAAAUACUUCUGAAGUUUUGGGGGCUGUAUGUGGAAACAGGAAAAAAUGAAAAGAGCCAGCAGUAUUGUGAACUAUUGUGGAUGUUUCUGGACAUUUUAUAUAGUUCUAACAGCAAUGUUUGCUUAGAAAUUAAUGUUAGGUUCCCCUAAAACCCACUGUGUAGACUUUGGAGGUCUGCCAUGGGUUGAGAGAAGGUCUCUAUUGCUUCCUGUGCUCAGGAAAAAGGAGAUUAAAGACACCCAAAGUCCUACCCCACUGUCUUUGAAGAUCUUACUUGACACAUGAGUUUCAAAGACUUUCUUUUCUCAAUACUUUAAACUAAACAGAAUUAAUCCAUCUAUAUCCAUCAAAGGGCAUCCAACUGUCAAGUUUUCCUCAGCUCUUGGCUCAAAUUAUGGCUGUCCUUCAGCUGCAAGUUUAGUCCACCUGCCUUCCAGAGCAAGUUCUGAGUGAAGACAAAGGCAUCAGCCUCAUUGACAGUUGGGGGUUGUUCUGGCUCCUUUAUGUCAACCGGACACAAGCUAUAGUUAUCUGAGAGGAGGGGCCCUCAUUUGAGAAAAAUGUUCCAUAAGAUUGGGCUGCAGGCAUGUUUAUAGCACAUUUUCUUAAUUAGUGAUUGGUGUGACAGGGCCCAGUUCAUUGUGAGUGUUGCCAUCCAUGGGUUGGUAGUCCUGGGUUCUAUAAGAAAGCAGGCUGAGCAUGGCAUGGGGAGUACUCAGUAAGCAGGAUCUCUUCAUAGCCUCUGCAUCCUGCCUGAAGGCUCGUGCUUCUGGGCUUCUUCCCUGUGUAAGUUCCUGUCCCUGACUUCCUUCAAUGAUGGACCAUGAUGUGAAAGUGUAAGGUGAAUAAACCCCUUCCUUUCAAUUUGCCUUAGAUCAUUAUGUUUCUUCACAGCUAUAGUAACCCUAACUAAGACAGGGCUAAUGCCCUUGAGAGAGUCUUGUAAGUCAGAUCUCAUUGUUUUAGUCUAUUGCUAUUGCAAACUACUUGAAGCUGAGUUAAUUUAUAAAGAAAAGAAGUUUGUUACUGCUGGGGUACAUGGGAAUUCUAUAGGUCACUUUCAAGAAACUGCCAAUCAUUUUCACAGGUGUCCUACCAUUUCAUAAUUCUAUUAGCAACACAUUUUUCUUCAGUUUGUCCAUUAGUCUUAUUAAAUAUAGACUAUAUUCUUGGCUGGUGAGAUUUUUUUUUCUUUUUCAACAUUGUAAACAUUUUUCUUGCUGUGUAUAACUGCAGAUAAAGUUUUCUUGUAUGUUUUUGUUCUGUCCUCUCUCUCUCUCUCUCUCUCUCUCUCUCUCUCUCUCUCUCUCUCUCUCUCUGUGUGUGUGUGUGUGUGUGUGUGAAUUUUGAAUAAGAUUGGUGUAUAGACAUUUUAAGAAUUUAUACUA